rnacentral:rRNA from 1 species
GACGUAGGGUGCAAGCGUUGUCCGGAAUUAUUGGGCGUAAAGAGCUCGUAGGCGGUCUGUCACGUCUGCCGUGAAAACCCGAGGCUUAACCUCGUGGCUUGCGGUGGAUACGGGCAGACUAGAGGUAGGUAGGGGAGAACGGAAUUCCCGGUGUAGCGGUGAAAUGCGCAGAUAUCGGGAGGAACACCGGUGGCGAAGGCGGUUCUCUGGGCCUUACCUGACGCUGAGGAGCGAAAGCAUGGGGAGCGAACAGG